rnacentral:rRNA from 1 species
UACGUAGGGCGCAAGCGUUGUCCGGAAUCAUUGGGCGUAAAGCGCGCGUAGGCGGCCCGAUAAGUCCGCUGUGAAAGUCAAAGGCUCAACCUUUGAAUGCCGGUGGAUACUGUCGGGCUAGAGUCCGGAAGAGGCGAGUGGAAUUCCUGGUGUAGCGGUGGAAUGCGCAGAUAUCAGGAGGAACACCAAUAGCGAAGGCAGCUCGCUGGGACGGUACUGACGCUAAGGCGCGAAAGCGUGGGGAGCGAACAGG